CCUACGGGUGGCAGCAGUGGGGAAUAUUGGACAAUGGGGGGAACCCUGAUGCAGCGACGCCGCGUGGGUGAAGAAGUAUUUCGGUAUGUAAAGCCCUAUCAGCAGGGAAGAAAGAAGACGGUACCUGACUAAGAAGCCCCGGCUAACUACGUGCCAGCAGCCGCGGUAAUACGUAGGGGGCGAGCGUUAUCCGGAUUCACUGGGUGUAAAGGGAGCGUAGACGGCCGUGCAAGCCAGGAGUGAAAGCCCGGGGCCCAACCCCGGGACUGCUCUUGGAACUGUGCGGCUGGAGUGCGGGAGGGGCAGGCGGAAUUCCUGGUGUAGCGGUGAAAUGCGUAGAUAUCAGGAGGAACACCGGCGGCGAAGGCGGCCUGCUGGACCGCGACUGACGUUGAGGCUCGAAAGCGUGGGGAGCGAACAGGAUUAGAUACCCCAGUAGUC
rnacentral:rRNA from 1 species